rnacentral:lncRNA from 1 species
ACAGAGCAGCACGGCUGCUCUCGCGAGAUUGGCUGACGUGGCGUGGUGCGUUGCCAGGGCAACGGCUCUGCGUCCCCGCCCCUUGCCUAGAAAAAGCGUCGGGGAGAGCGGCGUCGUGUCGUUGCGCACCAUGGGCGGAGGGGAGGAGUCUGGGUGUGUGAAUCACGUGGGACUUUCAAACGCGGAGAAGCCCAACUGCAGUGAUUUCACAGACGUGCUCACCCCAGCCAGCAGUGUCUUGAGAAGCUACAGACUCCAUGGCCAAGGAAUGAACCAUCCUAGGACACUGGGAGCAAGCUGCUGAGACACCUAUAUUUGGCCUUCCUUCUGUACCCACUCAGUGACACAGUAAAUAUUUUGGGUGAUUGACUGAUUCCGUCUGAUCUACUAAUUUCUGUGUUCUGGAAUGGGGCAGCAUUGUAUCUACG